CGGAUCGAUGAUGACCGUGGGUAGCUUAUGAGUCGGACUGUGACUUCAAAUCUGCGUCUGAGGUCCAC
ensembl:snoRNA